rnacentral:rRNA from 1 species
UACGUAGGAGGCUAACGUUAUUCGGAUUUACUGGGCGUAAAGCGCGUGUAGGUGGUUCUGUAAGUAGGGCGUGAAAGCUCCCGGCUCAACUGGGAGAGGCCGUUCUAAACUGCAGAGCUAGAGUAUGUGAGAGGGAAGUGGAAUUCCAUGUGUAGCGGUGAAAUGCGUAGAGAUAUGGAGGAACACCAGUGGCGAAGGCGGCUUCCUGGUCUGUAACUGACACUGAGGCGCGAAAGCGUGGGGAGCAAACAGGAUUAGAUACCCGU